UACGUAGGGGGGCAAGCGUUGUCCGGAAUUAUUGGGCGUAAAGAGCGUGUAGGCGGUCCGGUAAGUCCGCUGUGAAAGUCCAGGGCUCAACCCUGGAAUGCCGGUGGAUACUGCCGGGCUAGAGUCCGGAAGAGGCGAGUGGAAUUCCUGGUGUAGCGGUGAAAUGCGCAGAUAUCAGGAGGAACACCGAUGGCGAAGGCAGCUCGCUGGGACGGUACUGACGCUGAGACGCGAAAGCGUGGGGAGCAAACAGGAUUGAGAUACCC
rnacentral:rRNA from 1 species